rnacentral:rRNA from 1 species
CCCUUAGAUGUUCUGGGCCGCACGCGCGCUACACUGACGAAUGCAACGAGCUUAUAACCUUGGCCGAAAGGUCUGGGUAAUCUCCAAAUUUCGUCGUGAUGGGGAUAGAUUAUUGCAAUUAUUAAUCUUCAACGAGGAAUGCCUAGUAAGCGCAAGUCAUCAGCUUGCGUUGAUUACGUCCCUGCCCUUUGUACACACCGCCCGUCGCUCCUACCGAUUGAAUGGUCCGGUGAAGCGUUCGGACCGCUGUCAGUCUUUUCGGCCGUCGGCGAGAAGCUCUGUGAACCUUAGCACCUAGAGGAAGGAGAAGUCGUANCA